GGUUAAGCGACUAAGCGUACACGGUGGAUGCCCUGGCAGUCAGAGGCGAUGAAGGACGUGCUAAUCUGCGAUAAGCGUCGGUAAGGUGAUAUGAACCGUUAUAACCGGCGAUUUCCGAAUGGGGAAACCCAGUGUGAUUCGUCACACUAUCAUUAACUGAAUCCAUAGGUUAAUGAGGCGAACCGGGGGAACUGAAACAUCUAAGUACCCCGAGGAAAAGAAAUCAACCGAGAUUCCCCCAGUAGCGGCGAGCGAACGGGGAGCAGCCCAGAGCCUGAAUCAGUGUGUGUGUUAGUGGAAGCGUCUGGAAAGGCGCGCGAUACAGGGUGACAGCCCCGUACACAAAAAUGCACAUGCUGUGAGCUCGAUGAGUAGGGCGGGACACGUGGUAUCCUGUCUGAAUAUGGGGGGACCAUCCUCCAAGGCUAAAUACUCCUGACUGACCGAUAGUGAACCAGUACCGUGAGGGAAAGGCGAAAAGAACCCCGGCGAGGGGAGUGAAAAAGAACCUGAAACCGUGUACGUACAAGCAGUGGGAGCACGCUUAGGCGUGUGACUGCGUACCUUUUGUAUAAUGGGUCAGCGACUUAUAUUCUGUAGCAAGGUUAACCGAAUAGGGGAGCCGAAGGGAAACCGAGUCUUAACUGGGCGUUAAGUUGCAGGGUAUAGACCCGAAACCCGGUGAUCUAGCCAUGGGCAGGUUGAAGGUUGGGUAACACUAACUGGAGGACCGAACCGACUAAUGUUGAAAAAUUAGCGGAUGACUUGUGGCUGGGGGUGAAAGGCCAAUCAAACCGGGAGAUAGCUGGUUCUCCCCGAAAGCUAUUUAGGUAGCGCCUCGUGAAUUCAUCUCCGGGGGUAGAGCACUGUUUCGGCAAGGGGGUCAUCCCGACUUACCAACCCGAUGCAAACUGCGAAUACCGGAGAAUGUUAUCACGGGAGACACACGGCGGGUGCUAACGUCCGUCGUGAAGAGGGAAACAACCCAGACCGCCAGCUAAGGUCCCAAAGUCAUGGUUAAGUGGGAAACGAUGUGGGAAGGCCCAGACAGCCAGGAUGUUGGCUUAGAAGCAGCCAUCAUUUAAAGAAAGCGUAAUAGCUCACUGGUCGAGUCGGCCUGCGCGGAAGAUGUAACGGGGCUAAACCAUGCACCGAAGCUGC
rnacentral:rRNA from 1 species